rnacentral:tRNA from 1 species
GCCUGGGUGGCUCAGUCGGUUGAGCGUCUGACUUCAGCUCAGGUCAUGAUCUCCUGGUUCGUGGGUUCAAGCCCCGAGUCAGGCU